UACGUAGGGAUGCAAGCUGUUGUGCCGGAAGUUUACUGGGCGUAAAGCGCGCGCAGGCGGCACUCUAAGGUACGCUGUGAAAUAUCCCGGCUCAACCGGGAGGGUGCAGUGUAGACUGAGGGAGCUAGAGGUCGGUAGAGGGGGUGGAAUUGCUGGUGUAGCGGUGAAAUGCGUAGAGAUCGAGCAGGAACACCCGUGGCGAAGGCGGCCCCCUGGGCCGUACCUGACGGCUGAGGCGGCGAAGGCUAGGGAGCGAACGGG
rnacentral:rRNA from 1 species